ACGGGUGCGUAACGCGUAUGCAACCUACCUCUAUCUGGGGGAUAGCCCGGAGAAAUCCGGAUUAACACCGCAUAAAAUCACAGUACGGCAUCGUACAAUGAUCAAAUAUUUAUAGGAUGGAGAUGGGCAUGCGUGUCAUUAGUUAGUUGGCGGGGUAACGGCCCACCAAGACCGCGAUGACUAGGGGAUCUGAGAGGAUGACCCCCCACACUGGUACUGAGACACGGACCAGACUCCUACGGGAGGCAGCAGUAAGGAAUAUUGGUCAAUGGGGGCAACCCUGAACCAGCCAUGCCGCGUGCAGGAAGACGGCCCUCUGGGUUGUAAACUGCUUUUAUUCGGGAAUAAACCUGCUUACGUGUAGGCAGCUGAAUGUACCGAAGGAAUAAGGAUCGGCUAACUCCGUGCCAGCAGCCGCGGUAAUACGGAGGAUCCAAGCGUUAUCCGGAUUUAUUGGGUUUAAAGGGUGCGUAGGCGGCCUGUUAAGUCAGGGGUGAAAGACGGUAGCUCAACUAUCGCAGUGCCCUUGAUACUGAUGGGCUUGAAUGGACUAGAGGUAGGCGGAAUGUGACAAGUAGCGGUGAA
rnacentral:rRNA from 2 species